rnacentral:rRNA from 1 species
CAAUAGCGUAUAUUAAAGUUGUUGCGGUUAAAAAGCUCGUAGUUGGAGUUCUGCCAGGUGCCGCCUGUCCGCCCCAGUGGUGAGUACGUGGCGCGCAUUUGGCCCUUUCAAGGGGAGCGUAUCUGCACUUUAUUGUGUGGUGCGGGAUCCUUGACUUUUACUUUGAGGAAAUAGGAGCGUUCCAAGCAGGCUCUCGUCGUGCACAGCUCAGCAUGGAAUAAUAGCAUUGGACCUCGAUUCUAAGCUGUUGGUUGCCAGAAGCGAGGUAAUGAUGAAGAGGGAUAGUUGGGGGCAUUCGUAUUUAACUGUCAGAGGUGAAAUUCUUGGAUUUGUUAAAGACGGACUACUGCGAAUGCAUCUGCCAUGGAUGUUUUCAUUGA